UCCUUUCAUUUGAUGACCUGUGCCCA
rnacentral:piRNA from 1 species